rnacentral:rRNA from 1 species
GACGAACGCUGGCGGCGUGCUUAACACAUGCAAGUCGAACGGUGAAGCUCCAGCUUGUUGGAGUUGCUCAGUGGCGAACGGGUGAGUAACACGUGAGCAACCUGCUCCUGACUUUGGUAUAAGCGCUCGUAACGGCGUUUACUACUGGAUACGAGAAGGGUCCGCAUGGGCACUUUCUGGAAUGUUUUUCUGGUGGGGAUGGGCUCGCGGCUUAUCAGCUUGUUGGUGAGGUAAUGGCUCACCCAGGCGAAGACGGAUAGCCGGCAUGUGAGGGCGACCGGCCACAAUGGGACUGAGACACGGAGCAGACUGCUACGGGAGGCAGCAGUGGGGAGUAUUGCACAGUGAGCGAGAGCCUGAGACAGAGACGCCGCGUGAGGAAAGACGGCCUUCGGGUUGUGAACCGCUUUCAGCAAAGAAGAAGCGAAAGUGACGGUACCUGAAGAAGAAGCACCGGCUAACUACGUG